AACGAACGCUGGCGGCAUGCCUAAUACAUGCAAGUCGAACGAGAUCUUCGGGUCUAGUGGCGCACGGGUGCGUAACGCGUGGGAAUCUGCCCUUGGGUUCGGAAUAACAUCGGGAAACUGAUGCUAAUACCGGAUGAUGACGAAAGUCCAAAGAUUUAUCGCCCAAGGAUGAGCCCGCGUAGGAUUAGCUAGUUGGUGGGGUAAAGGCCCACCAAGGCGACGAUCCUUAGCUGGUCUGAGAGGAUGAUCAGCCACACUGGGACUGAGACACGGCCCAGACUCCUACGGGAGGCAGCAGUAGGGAAUAUUGGACAAUGGGGGCAACCCUGAUCCAGCAAUGCCGCGUGAGUGAUGAAGGCCUUAGGGUUGUAAAGCUCUUUUACCCGGGAUGAUAAUGACAGUACCGGGAGAAUAAGCCCCGGCUAACUCCGUGCCAGCCGCCGCGGUAAUAC
rnacentral:rRNA from 1 species